AGAGCAGUAUCUCAUUUCUGAAAACCUGGAUUGUAGCUUUCCCUGGGCUGACUGUCAAAGGAGGUGGUUUUAAAAAGCAAGCCAAACAGGUUUCCAUCCUUUAGGAAGACCCUGGAACGUGCCAGUUGAUUCUGACAAUUUCUCAUGAACAGAAACACCUAGGAAGGGAGAACUGGGCCCGCCUGGCAGGACGACUGAGCAAGUCCUUGGAAAACCAGAGAUAUUAGAGCGGUGAAUCGCGCUGGUCACGUUGGACACCUGCGCGUUAGGAGAUUCUGGAGCCAGAGGGAGAGACCCCAGAAACUCCCCGGUCGGCGACCCAGCCCGAGACGCCUGGGGUCCCAAGGGAAGCUGAACGCCCGGUGGGCUCCCGGGAUGGUUCUUCCGGUUCUUUGUGCCGCCUUCACCCAGUGAAGGAGCCUGUAUCCACCCUGCCCAGUCGCUGUUGGGCUGCUGCGGAGCUUCCGCUGCCAUCUUCGGAUCCUGUGUUCCGCCCGGGGCUCCACCAGGGCAGGGAUGGUGGUGAGGGUCGCUCGUGGGUCCCCUGGCAGGGAGCAGGGUCUGGCACUCACAAGGGCGCACGACUAGGACUUGUCGAAUGAAUCCUUUGUCGCCUUUAGCUUUUAGUCCUUUGAAGAGAGGUGAGAGUGGAAAUCAAGAGAUUUUUUUCCACGGGGAAGUUCUUUUUACAAAGCGUUGAUUUCUCGGCACCCCGCGGGGCGGGCAACUGACACGGCCUCCGGUGCACCUUCUGCGCUGUGGAGCCUCUGGGGCUCAGCUGGGCGGUGGUCGGGUCGUGGGGCGGUAGGGCGGGAGCGGGGGAAGGGAAAAGCAAAAGCUGGAAAAGAAGCAGGGGAGUUAUGAACCAGACAUCCAGACCUCCUGAAGGGCUCGUGCAGACGUACAGGCGGGAUCUUCUGGAAGUGAGAAUUGUUUUUGUUUGUUUAUCUAUUGUAGCAGAAUGGGGAAAUGGAGAGAGAACCUGAAAGAGCCCCAAACUCGAGGACCUAUUGCUCCCCAAGAAUAACAUCUUCCAGAACUAGACAGAAAACUAGGCGUCUGGGAACCCUGAAAUCCUUGGAGGAGUAGAUCAUCAUGACCCUCUGUGUUCCUUUUGGCAAAUGACUUGCUUCCAUUGUUUGUUUGUUCAAUUGUCUGUUUGUUAAAUAAAUAAAACCCUUUUCAUGUAUCUUUAAAAUUA
rnacentral:lncRNA from 1 species